CAAGGUAUGAAGGGCGACCGCGGAACGCGUUACGUGUUUCGAGGAAAGUCCGGACUCCUAACGAAAGGGGUACCUGGGCGUAAUGUCCCAGGGGGGCGUAAGUCCAUGGAAAGUGCCACAGAAAAUUACCGCCUCUGCAGGCCUUAGGGCUGUAGAGGUAAGGGUGAAAACGUGCGGUAAGAGCGCACGACAGCGUGCAGUAAUGUACGAUGGGGGCAAACCCUGCCCGGAGCAAGGCCAAACAACGUGUACGGUUAUUUCGUUCCGCCCUUUUCCUUCGGGAAAACGGGAAUAAACACGUGGGUAGGCUGCUUAGACACAUGGUUGCUAGACAUUCCCUUUGGGGGAUGUUACAGAAUCCGGCUUACUGAGUACCUUGCAUC
rnacentral:RNase_P_RNA from 3 species